GAUGAACGCUGGCGGCGUGCCUAACACAUGCAAGUCGAACGGAGAUUCCGGACGGAAGUUUUCGGAUGGAAGCCUGUAAUUCUUAGUGGCGGACGGGUGAGUAACGCGUGGGCAACCUGCCCUAUACAGGGGGAUAGCAGCUGGAAACGGCUGGUAAGACCGCAUAAGUCGGUUAAAUCGCAUGAUUUGAUCGGGAAAUGAGCAAUCAGGUAUAGGAUGGGCCCGCGUCCGAUUAGCCAGUUGGCAGGGUAAAAGCCUACCAAAGCGACGAUCGGUAGCCGGACUGAGAGGUCGGACGGCCACAUUGGGACUGAGACACGGCCCAAACUCCUACGGGAGGCAGCAGUGGGGGAUAUUGCACAAUGGAGGAAGCUCUGAUGCAGCGACGCCGCGUGAGUGAAGAAGUAUUUCGGUAUGUAAAGCUCUAUCAGCAGGGAAGAUGAUGACGGUACCUGACUAAGAAGCCCCGGCUAACUACGUG
rnacentral:rRNA from 1 species